CUUGCGACAAGCAAUGAGUGGUUUGUGGAUGGAAAAUUCAAGAUCGCCCCAAUUCUUUUUACUCAAGUAUUUGUAAUACUAGGUACUCGCAACGGUGGUAUUCAUCCAUGUAUAUAUGCCAAAUAAAAACCAGGCAACAUACAAUAGACUUUUAAUAGAAAUUAAAAAUCUAGCUCCAGGGAUAAUUGCAGGAAGCAUUUCUGUAGAUUUUAAGAUUGCUAUCCAUAACGCGUUCAGGACCGAGUUCCCUGAAAUUUAAAUCCAAGGAUGUUUUUUUCAUCUCCUACAGAACAUGAAAAAACAAGUUGGAGCUGUAGGAUUAAUGGCAGAUUACAGAAAUAAUCCCGAUUUCAAUUAAUAUGCUCGGAUGAUAACGGCAUUGGCAUUUUUCCCGCCAGAAGAUGUAGCUGCUUAUUUUGAAAUUCUAAGUAUAGAAAUAGAAGCAGUAUUUCCAUAAUUACAGCCAAUCCUCGAUUAGCUAGAAUCGUAUUAUAUUGGAAUGCUGAGAAGGGAAGGUGUUAGAAGAAUACCAGCUUUUCCUAUUCCUACUUUGAAUCUAUAUAAUCGAGUCUUAGCAGAACAAAUGAAAACGAAUAAUAUUGAUGAAGCAUCUCGUAGGAGACUCCAAGCACAGCUCAGCAUGUCCAAUCCAAUUUGGAAAUUCAUAAUAGAACUCAGAAAGGUGCAAGCAGAGAGAGAUAUCUAUUAUGAAUUUCUUGUGGCAGGUAAUCAACCACCUCCUUCAAAAAGGAAAUUUGUUGAUGCUGGAAACCGCAUUUUGCACCUAGUACAAAAUUAUAG